rnacentral:tRNA from 1 species
AUUUAUAUAGUUUAUUUAAAACUUUACAUUUUCAUUGUAAAAAUAAAAUUAUAAUUUUUAUAAAUA